AAAACAUCUUAUGCCAUUUCAUGAGGUCCUCCAACAACCUCAUAAGAGGUUUAUAGAUGUAAUAGGAAUUGUCAUUCAUUUGGCGCCGUUAGAGCACAUCGGUGGAAGGCCGUACAGAGAGGCCAUACUAAUGGAUUCCAGGUGGGAUAUAAUCGUCGUGGGUAUAUGGCCUGAACUGUUGCAAAGAAAUGCUCUACGGUGGGUGUUAGCUAGAGAAAACAAGAGCAUAAUUAUCGGAACUAUGCUGCGUCGUAACAAGCUACACAGAUGCUUGCAAACCUCGGACCAUAGCACUGUUGAAUUCGAUCCAGAUCAUCACACCACACAACGGUUGCAGACAAUUCGGCGCUCCAUGAUCCAAAAUCCGAGGAGUGCUUUAAUCAACAAUUAUCUAGAGAGGA
rnacentral:misc_RNA from 1 species